rnacentral:rRNA from 1 species
UUUUUAAAAAAAAUUUUUAUAAAAUUAUUAAGUUAAAGUAAAUUUUUAGAAUUAAUAAAUUAAUUUAUAUAAAUAGUAAUGUAAAUGAAAUUAAAAAAUUUUUUAAAGUAAAAAAAAAUUUUGUACCUUUUGUAUCAGGGUUAAUUAAAAAAUAUUUAUUAAAAAUUAAUUAUCUCGAAAUUAAAAGAGUUAAAUAUAUAAAUUUAUUUAUGUUGAAUUAUAAUUAAAAAUAUAUAUUUAGAAAUUAAAUGUUAAUCGUUUUUAUUGAUAUCUAGUUUUUUUUGAAAUAAAUUUAAUUUAGAUAUUUUUAAAGGAUAAAUUUUUAUUAAAAAAUUUAUUUUUAAAAAUAUAAAUAAUUUAUGGGAUAAUCUAUAAAUUAAUAAUAUAAUAUAAAAUUUAUUUAUUUAAAAUAAAUUAUUAUUAAAAUUAUAAAAAUUUAAUAAAAAUGUAAAAAUUUAUUUAAAUUUAAUUUAAAUUUAUUAUAUAAAUAUUAGAAAAAAAAUAUUUUAAAUAAAUAAAAUAUAGUAUAAUGAUUAAAUUAGUAAUUUAUAUUGUUAAAAAAUUAUUAAAGAAUAUAUAAUAUUAAGGAAUUAGGCAAAAUAGUUAUAUUCACCUGUUUAUCAAAAACAUGUCUUUUUGAAAAUAAUUUAAGGUCAGUUCUGCUCAAUGAAAAAAUUAAAUAGCUGCAGUAUUUUGACUGUACAAAGGUAGCAUAAUAAUUUGUCUUUUAAUUGAAGGCUGGAAUGAAUGAAUUAAUGAAAUAUAAACUGUCUCAAUUUUAUAAAAUGAAUUUAAAUUUUAAGUUAAAAUGCUUAAAUAUAUUUGAGGGACGAUAAGACCCUAUAGAAUUUUAUAUAAUUAAGUAAUAAAUUAAUUAUUUAAUUAUAUUUAAUUGGGAGGAUUUUUAAAUUUAAUAAACUUUAAAAUUUUAAAAUAUUGAUUAAUAAAAUGAAGAGAGAUAUAAAUUAUAAAUAGAGAAUAAAUUACCUUAGGGAUAACAGCGUAAUAUUUUUGGAAAGAUCAAAUUGAAAAAAGUGUUUGCGACCUCGAUGUUGAAUUAAAAUAAAUUAUAAAUGUAGAAGUUUAUAAAUUAAGUCUGUUCGACUUUUAAAAUUUUACAUGAUUUGAGUUCAGAUCGACGUGAGUCAGAUUGGUUUCUAUCUUCAAUAAAAAUUAAAUGUUUUUGUACGAAAGGACUAAAUUUUUAAAAUAAUUUUUAAAAUUAUAAUAAAUAAUU